AGGUGCCAUUCUUUUUAUGCCUUACCUCCAGGUGGUUACCACAAAGCGGUCCUGGCAGUGGGCUCGACAACAUCAAUGAGGAGCGUUCUGAAGUGGUGGAAUUCUCCGUGCCCUUUGUGAAGACAGGGAUCAGUGUCAUGGUUUCAAGAAGCAAUGGCACUGUCUUGCCUGCUGCUUUUCUAGACUACACACACGGAGGAGAAAGCAGAAGCUUAGAGAAACACCAAGAAUCCCUCUGUGUUCUGUUCCAGCCUGUCCAAGGUUCUGACACCUCAUAUUUCUUGGUGUCCAGCGUUGUGGCGUUCUUCCUCGGAUGCUGUGUAGAGCCCCAGCGCUGGACUUGGAACAAGGAGGUGAGCUCCAUGAUGAGCAACACCUGCAGGAAGGCUGGGCCGCUGGUGUCUGAGGAGUGGUAGUGGAUUCACCGGGCCUCUGAAUCAGGUUCAUCCAUCCUCGCCUGGUGAGUCUUUUUGAACUCUUUGUGCAUAUCGUGUGAUGGCCCCGAACAUGGGUCAGGGACACUCAGGCCUUCAGGAGCCAGAUGGAAGGAAGAAUAAAUUGUGUAUUACAUUGUAUGCUACA
rnacentral:lncRNA from 1 species